AGCUGGUGUUGUACAAGUAUAGCAGUGAUGAAAUUUCAGGGUUUGAUCCCCUGGCAUUUCAUAUGGUUGAUUUAAAAUUAAAAUGUAUCAAUUUCCCAGUUGUAUUUUUAGCAAUGUCAUUAUGUUGCGGAUGAGGUCAUUUUAAUAUGUCAUAAAAUGCAAAUAAAAACUAUAAAAUAAUAGUUCAUAAAAAAAAGGUUUUAGGUGGUAGUAUUUUAUAGGUUAUUUAGUUUAUUUGUGGUGAAAGAGUUCAUCAAUUGUAUUGAUGACAAAGGUAGCAUUUCAAGAGAAAUGCAGUUGUUCUGAGAUCACUGUAUAUAUUUAGCUCUGGGCAAGGUCAAGGUUGUCAGUCAAGGCUCAUAGUUCAAGGUUGUGUCAUGUCAGGUCAUGACACUAGCAAUUGUUUAUCAUGUGAUCAGUUAUGCUGAUUUCUGAUUGGUUGAUUGGCAAACAAUUGGCUCUGCA